rnacentral:rRNA from 1 species
AAGUCAGAAAGUUUCCGAUUGAAAUUUAUUUGUAGGUACGAAAAGAUCCAAAUGAUUAAGCGGACCCUGGCCGGUACCUACCCAAAAGCCCGGGCUAGCUACGUCCCCGCAACUGGGUAAUCAGUAGGUGGCAAGCGUUAUCCGAAUUUUGGGCGUAAAGCGCGGCAGGUGGUUUCUUAAGUCUGAUGGAAAGCCCACGGCUCACCGUGGAGGGUCAUUGGAACUGGGAGACUUGAGUGCAGAAGAGGAAAGUGGAAUUCCAUGUGUAGCGGUGAAAUGCGUAGAGAUAUGGAGGAACACCAGUGGCGAAGGCGACUUUCUGGUCUGUAACUGACACUGAGGCGCGAAAGCGUGGGGAGCAACCAGGAUUAGAUACCCUGGUAGUCCACGCCGUAAACGAUGAGUGCUAAGUGUUAGAGGGUUUCCGCCCUUUAGUGCUGAAGUUAACGCAUUAAGCACUCCGCCUGGGGAGUACGGCCGCAAGGCUGAAACUCAAAGGAAUUGACGGGGGCCCGCACAAGCGGUGGAGCAUGUGGUUUAAUUCGAAGCAACGCGAAGACCCUUACCAGGUCUUGACAUCUUCUGACAACCCUAGAGAUAGGGCUUCUCCUUCGGGAGCAGAGUGACAGGUGGUGCAUGGUUGUCGUCAGCUCGUGUCGUGAGAUGUUGGGUUAAGUCCCGCAACGAGCGCAACCCUUGAUCUUAGUUGCCAUCAUUCAGUUGGGCACUCUAAGGUGACUGCCGGUGACAAACCGGAGGAAGGUGGGGAUGACGUCAAAUCAUCAUGCCCCUUAUGACCUGGGCUACACACGUGCUACAAUGGACGGUACAAAGAGCUGCAAGCCCGCGAGGUGGAGCUAAUCUCAUAAAACCGUUCUCAGUUCGGAUUGUAGGCUGCAACUCGCCUACAUGAAGCUGGAAUCGCUAGUAAUCGCGGAUCAGCAUGCCGCGGUGAAUACGUUCCCGGGCCUUGUACACACCGCCCGUCACACCACGAGAGUUUGUACCACCCGAAGUCGGUGGGGUAACCUUUGGAGCCAGCCGCCUAAGGUGGACAGAUGAUUGGGGGAAGUCGUAACAAGACUAGGGC